AACACUGUUAACCUGCGGUACCUGCGGAAGGAUCAUCAUCGAAUUCGAAUCCCCCUCUUCUCCCGGAGGGGGACCAAUGAUAAACCCUUUUGUGCACCGUAAACCGUUCACUUUGGCAGGCUUUGGUAGGGAGCGUGAGCUCGCCUCCAACUUCGCGUUCCCUCCCUAAGGGGCAUUACGCGUGGCGGCCUGCCGGUGUCCCAUUAUAAAACUCAUUUUCGAACACGUCUGAAAAUUUCC
rnacentral:misc_RNA from 1 species